rnacentral:rRNA from 1 species
AGAGUUUGAUCCUGGCUCAGGACGAACGCNGGCGGCGUGCCUAACACNUGCAAGUCGAGCGGUCCAGCACUCAAGCUUGCUUGGGUGCUGGGUAGCGGCGAACGGGUGAGUAACGCGUGGGUGACCUGCCCGGGAGACCGGGAUAACAGUUCGAAAGGGCUGCUAAUACCGGAUGAUAUCUUUUGGCUGCGGCCAAGGGAUCAAAGCGUUUUAGCGCUCUCGGAUGGGCCCGCGUCCCAUNAGCUAGUUGGUGGGGUAAUGGCCUACCAAGGCGACGAUGGGUAGCCGGUCUGAGAGGAUGGUCGGCCACACUGGGACUGAGACACGGCCCAGACUCCUACGGGAGGCAGCAGUGGGGAAUUUUGCGCAAUGGGGGCAACCCUGACGCAGCGACGCCGCGUGGGUGAAGAAGGCCUUCGGGUUGUAAAGCCCUGUUGGGGGGGACGAUAGUGACGGUACCCCCUGAGGAAGCCCCGGCUAACUACGUGCCAGCAGCCGCGGUAAUACGUAGGGGGCGAGCGUUGUCCGGAAUUACUGGGCGUAAAGGGCGUGUAGGCGGCCUUUCAAGUCGGCUGUGAAAGUCCCCGGCUCAACCGGGGGAUUGCAGUCGAAACUGAGGGGCUUGAGUGCAGGAGAGGAGGGUGGAAUUCCCGGUGGAGCGGUGAAAUGCGUAGAUAUCGGGAGGAACACCGGUGGCGAAGGCGACCUUCUGGCCUGUUACUGACGCUGAGGCGCGAAAGCCGGGGGAGCAAACAGGAUUAGAUACCCUGGUAGUCCCGGCCGUAAACGCUGGGUACUAGGUGUAGGGGGCUUUGAUGCCUUCUGUGCCGUAGUUAACGCAUUAAGUACCCCGCCUGGGGAGUACGGUCGCAAGGCUGAAACUCAAAUGAAUUGACGG